CGGGACGGUGAGACACGAGACGAACCUACCUACACGGAGGGACGACGCGUAGGAACGCGCUAAUACCGCAUAAGCACCCAGUUUCGCAUGAAACAGAGUGAAAAGAGUAAAUCGGUGUAAGAUGGCUCUGCGUCUGAUUAGCUAGUUGGUGGGGUAAAGGCUCACCAAGGCGACGAUCAGUAGCCGGCCUGAGAGGGCGACCGGCCACAUUGGGACUGAGACACGGCCCAGACUCCUACGGGAGGCAGCAG
rnacentral:rRNA from 1 species